rnacentral:rRNA from 1 species
GAUGAACGCUGGCGGCGUGCCUAAUACAUGCAAGUCGAGCGAACAGACGAGGAGCUUGCUCCUCUGACGUUAGCGGCGGACGGGUGAGUAACACGUGGUUAACCUACCUAUACGACUGGGAUACCAUCAGGAAACAGGAGCUAAUACCGGAUAAUAUAUUGAACCGCAUGGUUCAAUAGUGAAAGUCGGUUUUUCUGUCACUUAUAGAUGGCUCCGCGCCGCAUUAGUUAGUUGGUAAGGUAACGGCUUACCAAGGCAGCGAUGCUUAACCGACCUGAGAGGGUGAUCGGCCACACGGGAACUGAGACACGGUCCAGACUCUGACGGUAGGCAGCAGUAGAGAAUCUUCCGCGAGGGAGGAAUGCGGGACAGAGCAACGCCGCGUGAAGGAUGAUGGUCUUCGGAUCGGAGAGCUCUGUAAUUAGGGGAGAACAAAUGUGUAAGUAACUAUGCACGUCUUGACGGUACCGAAUCAGAAAGCCACGGCUAACUACGUG